rnacentral:rRNA from 1 species
GAUGAACGCUGGCGGCGUGCCUAAUACAUGCAAGUCGAGCGAACAGAUGAGGAGCUUGCUCCUCUGACGUUAGCGGCGGACGUGUGAGUAACACGUGUAUAACCCACCUAUAAGACUGGUAUAACUUCGGGAAACCGGAGCUAAUACCGGAUAAUAUAUUGAACCGCAUGGGUCAAUAGUGAAAGACGGUGUUGCUGUCACUUAUAGAUGGAUCCCGGCCUCAUUAGAUAGUUGGGAAGGUAACGGCUUAUCAAGGCAACGAUGCGUAGACGACGGGAGAGGCUGAUAGGCGACCCUGGAACUGAGACACGGUCCAGACUACUACGAGAGGCCGCAGUAGGGAACCUUCCGCAAUAGGCGAAAGCAUGACGGAGCAACGCCGAGUGAGUGAUGAAGGUCUUCGGAUCGUAAAAAUCUGUUAUUAGGGAAGAACAAAUGUGUAAGUAACUAUGCACGUAUUGACGGUAACUAAUAAGAAAGCAACGGCUAACUACGUG